AGCUUUAAGUUUUAUUUAAAGUGAGACCUGCCCAGUGCUAAUUAGUAAACGGCCGCAGUACCUUGACUGUGCUAAGGUAGCAUAAUCAGUUGGCUUUUAAAUGGAGUCGGGAAUGAAUGGAUUAAUAGGGUUGAGCUGUCUCUACUAUAUUAAAUUGAACUUACUUAUUAGGUGAAAAUGCCUAAGUUGUAAAAGAAAAAAGACGAGAAGACCCUAGGAGUUUUAACUAGAUGCUAUUUAUUAUAGUUAAUGUUUUUGUUGGGGCGACAUUGGAACAAUUUUAAACUUCCUUUAUGUUUAUAGGCCGACUUUGUAUGUAAAUCUAAACUACCCUAGGGAUAACAGCGUAAUUCUUUUUGAGCUUGCGACCUCGAUGUUGGACUAGGAAUUUGGUGGGCUAGCCGCCUA
rnacentral:rRNA from 1 species